GACAGAGGUGCCGAGCGUUAGGCGGAAUCACUGGGCUUAAAGCGUGUGUAGGCGGGUCGUUAAGUGCCUUGUGAAAUCCCACAGCUCACCUGUGGAACUGCUUGGCAUACUGGCGAUCUUGAGCCACUUAGGGGCAACCGGAACAAAGCGGUGGAGCGGUGAAAUGGCGUAGAUAUCGUUUGGAACGCCAAAUGGUGAAAACAG
rnacentral:rRNA from 1 species